rnacentral:rRNA from 1 species
CGAGGCGAACCGGGGAAACUGAAACAUCUCAGUACCCCGAGAAAAAGAAAUCAACCGAGAUUCCCCCAGUAGCGGCGAGCGAACGGGGAGCAGCCCAGAGUCAACAUCAAUAUUUACCACAGGAGAAGGGUCUGGAAAAGCCGGCAAUAAAGGGUGAUAGCCCCGUAUCUAAAGCGGUAAGUGUUGUGAACUCGAAGAGUAAGGCGGGACACGUGUUAUCCUGUCUGAAUAUGGGGGGACCAUCCUCCAAGGCUAAGUACUCCUGACUGACCGAUAGUGAACCAGUACCGUGAGGGAAAGGCGAAAAGAACCCCGGCGAGGGGAGUGAAAUAGAACCUAAAACCGUGUACGUACAAGCAGUAGGAGCACCCGAAAGGGUGUGACUGCGUACCUUUUGUAUAAUGAGUCAGCGACUUAUAUUCUGUAGCAAGGUUAACCGCAUAGGGGAGCCGUAGGGAAACCGAGUCUUAACUGGGCGUUAAGUUGCAGGGUAUAGACCCGAAACCCGGUGAUCUAGCCAUAACGCAGGUUGAAG